CAAAUAACUCUGGCUCAUAAACCGAAAGGUCUCUCUCUCUCUCUCUCCUCCCCUCGCAACCAAAAAAAAGAAGAAAAAGAGAAAUGGGGAUAACAGAGACCGCCGGCGAAUCCUCGGCGAGAAAGACGCGACGAAGAGCACCAUCGUCGAUCGAAUCUCUAGACGCAGACAUACUAUGCAUCAUCUUCUCCUUUCUCGAUUUAUUCGAUCUCGUUCACUGUACCGUCGUCUGUAACUCCUGGCUUGCUGUCAUCAAGAAGCUGAAGCUGCUGCAGUCUUCAUGCCGGAGGAUGCACCAGCUCGGCUCCACGUCGCUGGAGCAGCCACGCGAGAUAGACGUGGAGGAUUUCGCGAUGAAGCAUCACAAGAUGGCUUUACUAAGAGGUCGAAUCGAGAUUGAGCGGUGGGAAGCUCACUCACACCGAUUCUCUCAGUGUCGAAUGAAGAAGGGAUUGCUUCUUACUGGUGUAGGUGAUAAGGUUAUGCGUCUCUGGUCGUUGGAUAGUUAUAAAUGCAUGGAGGAAUACUCCCUUCCUGAUGCUGCUUCCUUGGUUGACUUUGAUUUUGACGAGAGUAAGAUUGUUGGAUUGGUUGGUACCCGGAUUAGCAUAUGGAGGAGAAGUGGACAAAGAAGCAUCUUUCCGUCUCGUGAAGGCACCAUUCCUAAGGGACUUUGUAUGCGUUACAUUGACCCAGAAGCUGUAGUUGGAUGCGAGGAUGGAACAGCUCGUAUAUUUGAUAUGUAUAGUAAGACAUGUUCACAGAUCAUUAGGACUCACGGUGGGCCAAUAACGUGCUUAUCUUUGAGCGACAGUCAACUGUUUCUUAGCGGGUCUUCACUCGGGAGAGUAACAGUAUCAGACCCUUUACUAGAUCAACCAGUGGCUACGCUUAAAUCCACAAUUACUGCAGGAGGUAUACAGACCAUCUGUUUUAACCAAGGCUCCAAUCUCGCCUUCUCUGGAACAACCGCUGGAUACGUUUCAUGCUGGGACCUCAGGAAAAUGAGACAGGUGUGGGAAAAUCGAGUGAGUCCUAAUGUGGUGUACUCAAUACAACAGUUGAAGAACGAUACAUCGGUUAUGGUAGCUGGUGGAAUAGACGGUGUGCUGCGAUUUGUUGAUCAGAAGAGUGGCAGAGUUCUGUCAAGCUGUAUAAUGGACGACAAAGUUUCAACAGUUCUGAGAAGGCAGAGCCAAGUCGUGGUUGAGAAGAGGAGAGGUAAAAGAGUAUCGCAAGACGUCGAGAUCGAUAAAUUCGAAAGGAAAACUCGGCCUCAGAUCAGCUGCAUAGCAAUGGGAAUGAAGAAGACUUCUUGGAUGUGUCAGCUUGAGGCUCAGCUUUGAGGAUAUUAAGUUGUCCACCUUCUUUGCAAGCAGCGUUGGCUGCUUUCACUUCAUUGCAAUGGUUAAUGAACUUGGAACAUAGGAACAUACCCGGUCGGUGUCUAACUCUUUCGUUGUCUUGGACGGUUUCAUAUAUCUCCUCCCUGUAAGAAGGUAAGAACAAGAAGAAGAAGAUAAGAAACAGAGAUCGUGAGGGAUUUGCCAAAA